GUGGAUUGAGAUACAAGUUGCAAUAUCAAGUUUUUUUGUAACUUCACUACCAAUCCAGAAAUUAAAUGUCCUUCUGAAGACUUCCUUUUUUUGAGCUUUAAAAGGAAGACAGAUACGAGGAUGACAGAU